UACAGAGGGGGCGAGCGUUGUUCGGAAUUACUGGGCGUAAAGCGCGCGUAGGCGGCUUUGCAAGUCGAGUGUGAAAUCCCCAGGCUUAACCUGGGAACUGCAUUCGAGACUGCAUAGCUAGAGUAUGGGAGAGGGAAGUGGAAUUUCAGGUGUAGCGGUGAAAUGCGUAGAUAUCUGAAGGAACAUCAGUGGCGAAAGCGACUUCCUGGACCAAUACUGACGCUCAUGUGCGAAAGCGUGGGGAGCAAACAGG
rnacentral:rRNA from 1 species